rnacentral:lncRNA from 1 species
CCUGUGCCCCAUCCCAGAGGCAGGUGGGGGGAGAGCAGGUCUCAGCUCGGGUCUCUGGAUCCUUUGCACCCCAAAGCUUGUUCUUUCUAGGCUCCAAGAGGCCUGUUAGCCACAGAGAGCCCGGGAGCUCGGCCAGAUCAGGGGUAAAUACGGGAAGCUCCCCAGAUGUGGGAGCCGGAAGCGGAGGAGGUGAGAGCUGCCCCCAUCCCCUC